AGCAAAUGGUUUGACAGAGCAUUUGUGAAACAAGAAAACUGUGAAGUGAGUUCCUGGUGGAUCCCAAACUAUUCACUUGCCUCUCCCAAGGAAGAAAACUAUGAGCUCCAUUGACUGAUCCCCUUCUCUUUAAUCAUCACUUCAGUUGUCUCUAAUUAUCCUGUUUUGCAUUAUACUUGCCUUGUAAAGCUGUUUUGAAUCAUUUAGCUUAGGAGAAAAUGGGGUUUGAAUCAAAAAUUAUUACCUGCAUAACUACACAAUAUAUUUGAAAUGGAAAAUGAGUGAAACUUCACAUUUUUCAGAGUUGUUAAGCAGAGAAAUAUCCUAUGAGUUAUGAAAUUGUAUUGAGGUGAGAAUGCUAAUGAGGUACUGAGAUGCUGUAUUGUUUGCUAAGGCUGCCUUUACAAAGUACAGGCAUACCUCAUAUUCUCGCACUUUGCUUCGUUGCACUUCACAAAUACUUCAAUUUUCAGAAAUUAAAGUUUUGUGGCAACCUUGUAUGGAGCAAGCCUGUGAGUGCCAUUUUUUCAACAGCAUGUGCUCACUUUUGUAUGUAUGCAUAUUGUUUUUUAGACCUAAUCCUAUCAGACAUUUAAUAGACUACAGUAUAGUGUAAACAGAAUGUUUAUA
rnacentral:lncRNA from 1 species